AGUCAAUAGAUACCCGGGUAGUCCACGCCGUAAACGAUGUCGACUUGGAGGUUGUGCCCUUGAGGCGUGGCUUCCGGAGCUAAACGCGUUAAGUCGACCGCCUGGGGAGUACGGCCGCAAGGUUAAAACUCAAAUGAAUUGACGGGGGCCCGCACAAGCGGUGGAGCAUGUGGUUUAAUUCGAUGCAACGCGAAGAACCUUACCUACUCUUGACAUCCAGAGAACUUUCCAGAGAUGGAUUGGUGCCUUCGGGAACUCUGAGACAGGUGCUGCAUGGCUGUCGUCAGCUCGUGUUGUGAAAUGUUGGGUUAAGUCCCGCAACGAGCGCAACCCUUAUCCUUUGUUGCCAGCGGUUAGGCCGGGAACUCAAAGGAGACUGCCAGUGAUAAACUGGGGGAAGGUGGGGAUGACGUCAAGUCAUCAUGGCCCUUACGAGUAGGGCUACACACGUGCUACAAUGGCGCAUACAAAGAGAAGCGACCUCGCGAGAGCAAGCGGACCUCAUAAAGUGCGUCGUAGUCCGGAUUGGAGUCUGC
rnacentral:rRNA from 1 species